GUUGUAGAUCAGGCCUAUUAUUUGAUGUUAUCGAUAAUUGUUAUUUUGAUUCUAUCGAUUAUUAUUUGCAUUGUCACUUUGUAUUGAAUUACCGCAGUUUGCUGAUUCCUCUUUCUUUGCAUAUUUGUGCUUAUCGUUGCUGAGCGCAAUUAGCUCAUUUUAAAUUUGAUAUUCGUUGAAGAAGGAGGCGCAAAACUGCGGUAAGUGUCCGUCAUUUAUAUUUGUAUUUUUUGGUAAAUUAACAGUUAUGUUUUCGUAGAAAUAAACGCAGCAACAAUAUAAACGUGUUUUAUUGUCCGUUUAACGCAAGCCUCCUGCCCUUCUAGCCGCAGUCAGCAACAUUUUUUUAUUUCGCAUUUUGCUGUUAUUGUAUGUUGCAGUUUUUUGUAUUUUCAUACAAAGAACUGAGUUUGUUGCCGUGGUAAUUGUUGGUGGACACAAAAUAAGCAACCUUUUGGAAAAUGUUACAGCAUACUCCACCACGCCGGAGUCCUCGUCUGCAAGGAAAUAUAAAUGCAGAUGCUGUAACAGAUGAUCAUCCUGAUCAGACUCAGCCAGAGUCAAUGCUAAUUAGUGUCACAAACAAAACAACCACACAAACUGCCGGAGGUAAUAUUAAAAGUGGGGAACAGCCUAUAACCUCACGUGUUGUGCAGCCAGCACCUAUUUCCUCCAUGGAAUUAAAUGGAAAUCCAGCCACUACAGUAAGUGGCCACCAACAGCAAACUAUCGGACAGAAGAUGUCAGUGCCGAUGUCGACUACAAGUCCUGCCAGUCCAUCAGAGAUGCAAAGACAAGUCAACCUAUUGAAAAGCCAGCUAUCGGAAACACAAAAGAAGCUGACCAACAGCAACCGCCAAUGCCAUGAACUCCAAAAUGCACUCCGAAACGUAUCAUCCCAGGUAAGUGACCAUAACCUCACAUCAGUUUCAACCUCGCAAACGCCAUUUGCAAUCGCCAUUGACACCAGAGCCGCCAUGCCGCCAACAGCAUUUGGGUCCCGCUAUACCAAUUGCCCAACCACACACACAUAUACAACCGCCGCCAUGUUUCAGCCUGUAGCAAGCACCAGAGCCGUUAUGCCGUCGACGUACGCUGCCUCAGCAAUUGGAAACUUAACUGCAGCGACAGUGGCGAGCGCAUCCUCUGCCGCGAUGCCACUACUACAAUCAGCACCAACUGCAGCCAGCAGUAAUGCCAGCGCUGCUACGACCUGUUCAAUGCCAUUAUGGGAGCCAUUGCAAAAUUUUCAACACUUUGAUACUUUUCCAAAUCCAAGCAUACCUGCGAUCACAAUGCCAAGAAAAAUUCAAGAUUUGCCAGAAUUCAGUGGUGAUCCAGACGACUGGCCAUUAUUUUAUACAGCUUUCAACCAGUCAACUGCAGCAUAUGGUUACACGAAUUUGGAAAAUAAUCAACGUUUGCACAAGUCGCUCAAAGGUGAAGCCAGAGAAGUCGUCAAAUCACUGCUUAUUCAUCCUGACAACGUCGACGACAUAAUUAAACAACUCUGUUUUAGAUUUGGUAGACCGGAGCAGCUCAUACAUAGUCAGUUACGCCAAGCCAGGGAAUUGCCUCAGAUUUCGGAAAAUAACUUAGGGAAGUUAGUGCCAUUUUCAACAAAAGUUAAAAAUUUAGCUGUUUUCCUGCAAUCCGUGAAUGGACAAAAUCACAUUGCUAACCCUACACUUCUGGAGGAGUUGGUGUCGAAGCUUCCAAUGAGUAAGAAAUUAGAAUGGGCCAGGGUAGCCACUCAAAUUCAACCAUAUCCUACAAUAAUACAUUUCAGCGAUUGGCUUUGCGAGAUUGCUAAUUUAAUAUGCAUAGUGCAGGAUGUGGAAUAUAAAGACCAAAAGCGCCGUGUUUUAUUGCAUUCCACCGGACAACAAAUACAAUGCCCUAUGUGCCAGGGCCAACAUAGGAUUUAUGAUUGCCGCCGGUUUUUAAACCUGAAUGUUCCAGAUAGAUGGAAACAAGUUAAAAAAAAUCGUGCCUGUUUUUCCUGUUUGCACACUGGACAUAUAACCCGAGACUGUCGACGUAGACGAGUAUGCCCUGAGGAAGGAUGCGAGCGAAGGCAUCAUAAAUUACUUCAUGAGUGCACCACCCCCUGUGUUCCACCACCAACUUUGGCGAAUCCUGAUCCUAAAUCUCAACAAAAUGUUCUCAGUUGCAAUUCCGAAGAUAAGAAGAAACUUCUUUUUAGGGUUCUGCCUGUAACAUUGUACGGGAACAAUUGUUCAAUGGAAGUCUACGCCCUCUUUGAUGAUGGAUCAUCCAUCACCAUGAUGGACAGCGAUAUUGCCGAAAAAAUAGGGAUAAGAGGAAAGAAUACUUCGCUCAAUGUUCAAUGGUUCGGAGGCCGAUCAGCCAGAGAGCCCGUGACAUCCUUCAACAUAAAAGUGAGUGGAUCUGGUAAAAAGGGUUGCCAUCUACUAAAAAAUGUGUAUGCAGUAUCUAAUCUCAACCUUCCGAUGCAGUCCUUGAGUCAAGAUGAAAUUUUAUCAGCCUUUAAGAACUGUAAAUUUCCUCCCGUGAAACCCUACUCCAAUGUAGUGCCAAAGCUUUUGAUUGGAUUGGACCACGCGUCUCUAGGGUUGCCAUCGAAUUGUAAAAUAAAUAAUGAAUUUGGACCAUUUGCAUGUAAUACGGAAUUGGGAUGGGUUGUUUUCGGGCCAUGUCACUCUUUAUCCUCAAUUCAGAAGUCAUCUUUGUUUAUUUCGGUGGAAAACAAAGACGAAUUACAUCAAAUAGUAGCUGAUUAUUUUAAUGUGGAAGGUAUGGGAGUUAGAUCUGCUCCUUUAGUUGAAAGCGAUGAUGAUGUUAGAGCCAAGAGAAUUCUUGAAGAAACCACUCAACGAAUUGGAGAUCGAUUUCAAACUGGGCUGUUGUGGAAACAAGAUGAGAUUCGUCUCCCAGAUAGUUACCCGAUGGCACUUAGUCGUCUGGAAGGAAUUGAAAGGAAGAUGAAACGAGAUCCCAAGUUCUCUGCGGCCUACAGGGAAAUUAUAGAUAAAUACAUAGAGAAAGGAUAUGUUCGGAAACUACAAUCAGACGAGGUACGAAUUUCUAGUGAAAGAAAAUGGUAUUUGCCGCACUUCGGGGUAGUCAACCCGAACAAACCUGAAAAGUUAAGACUCGUUUUUGAUGCAGCCGCCAAGGUAAACAAUAUUUCGCUGAAUUCUAUGCUGUUAAAAGGACCUCAAAAUAUAGCUUCCUUGUUGACUAUACUGUAUAAUUUCCGCCGAGGCAAAAUAGCAGUUGGUGCCGAUAUAUGUGAAAUGUUUCACCAAGUUAAAAUUCAGCCGAGUGAUAGAGUUUCCCAGCGAUUCCUAUGGAGGGAUGGAAAUCAGAAAGAGCCACCGGGUGUAUACGAGAUGCAGGCCAUGAUCUUCGGUGCAGCCUGCUCACCAUGCUCAGCCAUUUUUGUCAUGAAAGCAAAUGCUAAAGAACAUUUGCACUAUAAUCCAAGAGCGAUUGAAGCCAUUAGCGAGAACCAUUAUGUUGAUGAUUUUGUAGAUAGCUUUGAAAGUGUAGAUGAAGCUAUCAUUAUUUCUAAACAAGUGAAAGAAAUUCACAAAAAUGGCGGAUUUGAAUUGAGGAACUUCAUAUCAAACUCGAAGGAUGUCUCCCAGACACUUGAUGGUAGUUUGAAAGCAAUGCCGAUUAAUAACGGAGCAGAGAAGGUCUUAGGAUUAUAUUGGGAGCCUUCUAGUGAUACGUUUAUGUUCAACUUAAAAUUCAAUCGAGUCGAUUCAUCCAUAAUUUCUGGAGAACUGAAACCAACAAAAAGGAAACUUUUAAGCAUUAUAAUGUCUACAUUUGACCCCCUUGGACUUUUGGGCCACUUUACAGUGGGUGGAAAAUUAUUAAUGCGACAGAUUUGGAAACACGAUUGUCGAUGGGAUGAUAUUAUUCCUGACGAUUUACAUGCCAUAUGGGAAAGGUGGAGAGGUCAGAUGAAAAAUGUUGCCAAAUUUAGCGUCCCUAGACAUUAUUUUCAAACAGGUUUGCCAACAUCACUACAGCUUCAUAUCUUUGUUGAUGCCAGUGAGGAUGCCUUUGCUGCAGUGGCAUAUUGGAGGUACAUUUCGAAUGAGUACACUGAUACCAGCUUCAUCACUUCUAAAAUUAAAUGUGCACCUCUGAAAAAAGUUACGAUUCCGCGUCUGGAGCUACAAGCUGCCGUUUUGGGAACUAGAUUAAUGCAGACUAUUAUGUCAUCUCAUAUUUUGACCCCAGAAAAGAUUGUUUUGUGGAGUGACUCCACAACAGUGUUACGAUGGAUAGCCAGCAGCCACAGACAAUAUAAACAGUACGUCGCCCAUCGAAUUUCUGAAAUAUUGUCAUCAACAAAAAUAGAGAAUUGGAGAUGGGUUCCAACAAGUGAAAAUGUAGCCGAUGAAGGCACCAGGUCAUUCAACAAUAUUGACUUUUCCAUGUCGUCCCGAUGGUUAAGAGGUCCUGCUUUCUUGAGAAUGACUGAACAUGACUGGCCUACUAGAGUAAUUGACACCACCUGUGCUAAUGAUAUUGAGGAAAAUCAUCCGAAAACAUCAUUAUUGAUUGUUGAGAAUGAUUUUAUUGAUUUUAACCGGUUUUCGUCAUUUACAAGAAUAAUAAGGUCGACUUGUUGGAUUAUUCGUUUUGUGAAAAGAUGCCGAAAUAUUUUUGACGAUUCGGAACAGUAUGGUCUCACGUCCCGUGAAUUAAAUUGCGCCGAAGAAAUAUUAUGCCGCCUAGUACAAAGAGAAAGGUUUUCUGCCGAGUUAAGUUGCAUUGAAAAAGGGCAGCCAGUUUCAAAGAACAGUAGUUUGAUUAGUUUAUCUCCCUAUAUUGAUGGUAAUGGUCUUUUAAGAGUAUAUGGAAGAAUAGAUGCUGCCAGCUACCUAUCAUACAACGUGAAAAGGCCAAUAAUAUUGCCUAAAAAUCAUCAGUUUACGAAACUUUUAGUCAUGCAUCAUCAUCGCCAGAUGAUGCACCAAAAUCACGAGGCUACGGUGUGUGAAAUUCGAAAAAAGUAUUGGAUACCACAAGUACGUUCUUUGUUGAAGACAGUAGUUGCCGAGUGUUUUUUAUGCCGAUCUAGAAAAUGUUUACCACGAUUGCCCAUCAUGGGGCAGCUGCCAUUAGACCGCCUUGAUCCUAAUAUUCCGCCGUUCAAAUAUACAGGACUUGAUUAUUUUGGACCAAUUACUGUAACAAUUGGAAGGAGAUCCGAGAAAAGGUGGGUAGCAUUGUUUACAUGCUUAACAAUACGUGCUAUACAUCUGGAAUUAGCGCAUGACUUGUCAACGGAUUCGUGUAUCAUUGCCAUAAGGAAUUUCAUUAAUCGUAGAGGUGUUCCAACCAGGAUUCGUUCCGAUAACGGGACAAAUUUUAUUGGGGCCAACGAGGAGUCUAAAAGAUUCACCGAAGCCUUUGAUGCUAAUAGAAUCCAGAGUGAGUUAUCCAAGAGAGGAAUUGAAUGGAUUUUUAAUUGUCCGGCUAAUCCUUCGGAAGGUGGCGCUUGGGAAAGAAUGGUACAGUGUGUGAAAAAAGUUUUGCGGCAUACACUGAAAGAAAUCUCACCUCGAGAACAUGUACUACAGUCUCUUUUAAUCGAAGCAGAGAAUAUAGUGAAUUCCCGCCCACUAACUCACUUGCCAAUAAGUCCUGAUGAGGAGGAACCACUUACUCCUAACCAUUUUUUAAUUGGCUCGGGAAAUGUUGCACCUACCCCGCCAGUGAAUGAACCCGACGGGAAGCUUUUUUCCCUGAAAAAACAAUGGAGAGUUCUGAGGUGUCUUCGAGAUAGAUUUUGGAAGCGGUGGAUUGCAGAAUACUUACCCACUCUCACCAGGAGAGUUAAGUGGUGUGAAUAUACUCAACCAAUCAGUGCUGGAAAUGUGGUUUUCAUCUGCGACCCAAAUGUUCCAAGGAGUCAAUGGCGGAGAGGUUUGGUCACUUGUGUCUACACGGGUACGGAUGGUGUGCCAAGAAGAGCUGAUGUGAAGACUUCGUCCGGAGUACUGCAACGUCCGGUAUCCAAGUUAGCUGUUUUGGACAUAGAAAUUAGUGAAGCUGAUCGCUCCACGGGGGUGGGGGUGUUGUAGAUCAGGCCUAUUAUUUGAUGUUAUCGAUAAUUGUUAUUUUGAUUCUAUCGAUUAUUAUUUGCAUUGUCACUUUGUAUUGAAUUACCGCAGUUUGCUGAUUCCUCUUUCUUUGCAUAUUUGUGCUUAUCGUUGCUGAGCGCAAUUAGCUCAUUUUAAAUUUGAUAUUCGUUGAAGAAGGAGGCGCAAAACUGCGAAAUAAACGCAGCAACAAUAUAAACGUGUUUUAUUGUCCGUUUAACGCAAGCCUCCUGCCCUUCUAGCCGCAGUCAGCAACA